rnacentral:rRNA from 1 species
AACGAACGCUGGCGGCAUGCCUAACACAUGCAAGUCGAACGAGACCUUCGGGUCUAGUGGCGCACGGGUGCGUAACGCGUGGGAAUCUGCCCCUCGGUUCGGAAUAACACAGAGAAAUUU